rnacentral:rRNA from 1 species
AGAGUUUGAUCCUGGCUCAGGAUGAACGCUGGCGGCGUGCGUAACACAUGCAAGUUGAGCGACGACGCAUCUGAAGUGGCAACAUGGAAGGUGCGAGCGGAGCAGCGGACGGGUGAGUACAACAUGAGAAGCUGUCCUCUGGUGGGGGGCAACGUCUAGAAAUGGACGCUAAUACCCCAUAGGCCGAAAGGUUAAAGCAGCAAUGUGCCAGGGGAGGUGCUCGUGCCCUAUCAGCUAGUUGGUGAGGUAAUGGCUCACCAAGGCGACGACGGGUAGCCGGCCUGAGAGGGUGUCCGGCCACACUGGGACUGAGAUACGGCCCAGACUCCUACGGGAGGCAGCAGUGGGGAAUAUUGGGCAAUGGGAGAAAUCCUGACCCAGCGACGCCGCGUGAACGAAGAAGGCCUUCGGGUCGUAAAGUUCUUUUAUGCGGGAAGAAGAAAGUGACGGUACCGCAUGAAUAAGCCCCGGCUAACUACGUGCCAGCAGCCGCGGUAAUACGUAGGGGGCGAGCGUUGUCCGGAAUUACUGGGCGUGAAGGGCACGCAGGCGGUGUGUCAAGUCAGCUGUAAAAGGAUGCGGCUUAACCGUAUUGUACAGUUGAGACUGACGUACUGGAGUACUGGAGAGGCAAGUGGAAUUCCCAGUGUAGCGGUGAAAUGCGUAGAUAUUGGGAAGAACAUCGGUGGCGAANGCGACUUGCUGNCCAGUAACUGACGCUGAGGUGCGAAAGCCAGGGUAGCAAACGGGAUUAGAUACCCCGGUAGUCCUGGCCGUAAACGAUGAAUGCUAGNNNUGCGUGCAGAGAUGCAGGUGUGCCGUAGUUAACGCGAUAAGCAUUCCGCCUGGGGAGUACGGUCGCAAGAUUGAAACUCAAAGGAAUUGACGGGGGCCCGCACAAGCGGUGGAGCACGUGGUUUAAUUCGAUGCAAACCGAAGAACCUUACCUGGGUUUGACAUCCCUCUGAAAGGCCGAGUAAAAUUGGCCCCUCUUCGGACAGAGGAGACAGGUGGUGCAUGGUUGUCGUCAGCUCGUGUCGUGAGAUGUUGGGUUAAGUCCCGCAGCGAGCGCAACCCUUGUCUUUAGUUGCCAGCGGUUCGGCCGGGCACUCUAGAGAGACUGCCGGGGACAACUCGGAGGAAGGUGGGGAUGACGUCAAAUCAUCAUGCCCCUUAUGUUCUGGGCUACACACGUGCUACAAUGGUCGUUACAGAGAGAAGCAAAACUGUGAAGUGGAGCGAACCUCUAAAAGCGAUCCCAGUUCGGACUGCAGGCUGCAACUCGCCUGCACGAAGUCGGAGUUGCUAGUAAUCGCGAAUCAGAACGUCGCGGUGAAUGCGUUCCCGGGUCUUGUACACACCGCCCGUCACACCAUGGAAGUUGGGGGCGCCCGAAGUUGGUCACAAAUCGAUUACCUAAGGCGAAACCAAUGACUGGGGUGAAGUCGUAACAAGGUAGCCGUA